CUCUGAGCAAUGUCAUCAGCCAGACCUACCUGUCGGAAGAUGAGAUGGCAGCCAUCAGUCGGGAGUGCCUGCAAGGACUGGAUUUUCUUCAUUCAAACCAUGUCAUCCACCAAGAUGUGAAAAGCAGCAACAUCCUUCUCAGAACUGACGGUUCUGUCAAGCUGGCUGACUUUGGCCUCUUUGCUCAGCUCAGCCCUGAGCAGGGCAGACGGAGCUCCGUG